rnacentral:rRNA from 1 species
GAUGAACGCUGGCGGCGUGCCUAAUACAUGCCAGUCGAGCGAACAGACGAGGAGCUUGCUCCUCUGACGUUAGCGGCGGACGGGUGAGUAACACGUGGAUAACCUACCUAUAAGACUGGGAUAACUUCGGGAAACCGGAGCUAAUACCGGAUAAUAUAUUGAACCGCAUGGUUCAAUAGUGAAAGACGGUUUUGCUGUCACUUAUAGAUGGAUCCGCGCCGCAUUAGCUAGUUGGUAAGGUAACGGCUUACCAAGGCAACGAUGCGUAGCCGACCUGAGAGGGUGAUCGGCCACACUGGAACUGAGACACGGUCCAGACUCCUACGGGAGACAGCAGUAGGGAAUCUUCCGCAAUGGGCGAAAGCCUGACGGAGCAACGCCGCGUGAGUAAUGAAGGUCUUCGGAUCGUAAAACUCUGUUAUUAGGGAAGAACAAAUGUGUAAGUAACUAUGCACGUCUUGACGGUACCUAAUCAGAAAGCCACGGCUAACUACGUG